AUCCAAGUGCUGUAAUUUGAACUGAAUUUCAGUUCUUCUCUCUCUCCUUCACACAUUCUCUCUCCUCAUCUUCUUCUUCUUCUUCUUCUUCUCAACUUUCGUCUUCAUCGAUUCUUCUCUCUGGAAUUCCGAAUUUCAGUUUUUCGAUUCUUGAGCUGCAAUAACAACAAUAUUAUUAUUCAUUAUAUAAUCCCAAAUAACGAGAGUAAACAAUCUAAUAUCGUUUUUUAAAUUCCCGAUUUGUCGGUUUCUUACCUCGAUUUUCUUUUGCCCUUCUGGUUAUCAUCUUCUGCAACUGCUUUCCUUCCAUUCAUAUAUUCUCACAUAAAUUUCUGCAUUGUUUUCUGGAUUUUCUUUCUCUCUUUCUUCAUUUAUUUCCAUUUGUUUUCUUUGGGUUUUCUGCAUAUAGUGAAUUUCACCAAUAUAGAAAUCUAAUACCGUCUAUGGAAGAGUAGCUCCUUCUUUCCAUUUCUAGAAAGCUUACCAAAUCUGGGUUUUUUACGUUAUUUUCUUUUCGAUCCGGGUAUAACGUUUCUUUUCGAUGGAUAGUUUUACGGCGGCGGCGGCGAAGACGGUGGAUGGGGUGGUGGGGGAAAUAAUGAGGAUGCACAAAUCACUACCACCUCGCCCAGACAUUGAAGAAGUUGAAGCUGCAACAACUCUCAUCAGAAACAUUGAGAGAGAAGAUCAGGUGAAAUUGGAAGCCAUUUUUAAGCAAACCAAAGGCAAAGCAGUACCAGAAGAGCUGUUCUUUCUGUAUCAGGAGAUGCAGAAAUCCCUAGUUCACUUCCAGAGUAGAGAACAAAAGAGGGAGGCAGUAAAAUUGCUUGAUCUCGAGAAUGCACACAAUGUGUUCGACGAAAUGAUUCAGAGAGUAUCUCAGUGUAUUUCUCCAAAUUCUGAUUCUGGGCAAUCGUCUUCUUUGGUGAAGAAUAAGGAUUUGAGUGUGAGCCAAAGUGGGUUCGUGAAACCUAGGGGUUUGGAUUCUUCUGUUGCUUCUAGUAGUUUUUAUAAUUUGGAGAAGAAGGAGCCUGUUAAGAAUGAGCUGUUUACUAGGGAUGAUAGUUAUGUCAUGAAAUCUAAAGCUGCUACUGCUACUUUCCAUGUCGAUGGAUUUGAUUCUACACUCAAGAUUUCUAACUAUUCAGCUCAAGAUGCUGAGAAAUAUAGUUUGAUCAAGCUAGCUAGCUUGAUUGAAGUGUCUGCAAAGAAGGGAACUAAGGAGAUACUUCUUCAAAACAAGUUGUCGGAUCAAGUUGAAUGGUUGCCUGAUUCUAUUGGGAAGCUAUCAGGACUAGUCACUCUUGAUUUGUCAGAGAAUAGGAUUGUGGAUUUGCCUGUUACCAUUGGAGGGCUUUCCACACUUUCGAAACUGGAUUUGCAUUCAAACAGAAUUGUGCAACUCCCAGAAGCAAUUGGGGAUCUCUUAAAUCUUGUUUAUCUAGAUCUUAGAGGAAACUACUUAGCUAAACUCCCUCAAAGUGUUGGUAGGUUGGUCCGUCUUGAGGAGCUUGAUGUGAGUUCGAAUAAACUAUCUUUACUCCCUGAUACAGUCGGGUGUUUGGUUAGUCUUAAGAAGCUGAAUGUAGAAACCAAUGAUCUCGAUGAACUUCCUCACACGAUUGGUCAAUGUUGUUCUCUUGAGGAGCUUCGACUGGACUAUAACAGACUUAGAGCCCUCCCUGAAGCUGUGGGAAAGAUCGAGUCUUUGCAGGUUCUUACUGUUCGGUACAAUAACAUUAGACAGCUGCCUACCACAAUGUCAUCUCUUGUAAGGUUGAGGGAGCUCGAUGUGAGCUUCAAUGAGCUUGAAGCUGUGCCUGAGAGCUUGUGUUUUGCCACAUCUCUUGUCAAGCUUAUUAUCAGUAACAACUUUGCUGAUCUGCGUUCUCUACCGAGGUCAAUUGGGAACCUUGAGAUGCUUGAAGUGUUGGAUAUUAGUAACAACCAGAUCCGUAUUCUGCCUGAAUCAUUUAGGUUGUUAACAAAAUUGCGAGUUCUUCAUUGUGAUCAAAAUCCUCUGGAAAUGCCCCCAAGACAGAUUGCUGAGAAGGGUGCACAGGCAGUUGUUCAAUACAUUGCUGAUCUUGUUGCAAACAAGGAUGUGAAGGUCCAACCCACAAAGCAGAAGAAGUCUUGGGCACAGCAGAUAUGCUUCUUUUCGCGGUCUAACAAAAGGAAGCGCGGUGGUGCAGAUUAUGUCAAGACAUGAUGAUUAUGUCUAAGACUGAUAAACAUUAGCAACCUCAUAUUUCUGCUGGGUAUGGAAACUGAGCUGUUGUUGUUGAGUCACAUGGAAGGAAAUUGGGGCUCUCUCUUCUGAAUCAUCACCAACAAUUUUACAAUCUCGCAAUGAAUGAUUUUAGUCCCUCCUUCCUCACACACAGCCUUUACAAUGCUGUUGUAAACGUGCCUUUGUCUCUCUUCAUUCUAGAUCAUUUCUUUCUUUCUUUUUUAAUUAUAAAUGUCAUAAUUCAAUUGUAUUUCAGGAGAUAUACACAGAUUGUAAAGUUCUUUAGUUUUUUUUUUAAAAAAACCCAGAAAAAAAUAGUUGUAAAUUAAAAAGUUCACGUUUAUUGUUAUUGAAAUCAAAGUGUAUCUCCAUUCACGUUUCUUCAGUGUGCUGGCAAUAGUUUUGUUGAGUUGUUCUGAUGUACUUUGUUCGUUUUGCUGAUUUUGGAAAUUGAAUAUUGGAUUUUAUUUCUCCUUA